rnacentral:rRNA from 1 species
AGAGUUGAUCCUGGCUCAGGACAAACGCUGGCGGCGUGCUAAUACAUGCAAGUCGAACGAGAAAUUCUUACACCGAAUGCUUGCAUUCACCGUAAGAUUUCGAGUGGCGGACGGGUGAGUAGCACGUGGGUAACCUGCCCAAGAGAAGGGGAUAACAUCUGGAAACAGGUGCUAAUACCGUAUAACCAUGAUGACCGCAUGGUCAUUAUGUAAAAGGUGGUUCUGCUAUCGCUCUUGGAUGGACCCGCGGCGUAUUAACUAGUUGGUGAGGUAACGGCUCACCAAGGUGAUGAUACGUAGCCGAACUGAGAGGUUGAUCGGCCACAAUGGGACUGAGACACGGCCCAUACUCCUACGGGAGGCAGCAGUAGGGAAUCUUCCACAAUGGGCGCAAGCCUGAUGGAGCAACGCCGCGUGAAUGAAGAAGGUCUUCGGAUCGUAAAGUUCUGUUGUUAGAGAAGAACACGUAUGAGAGUAACUGUUCAUGCGUUGACGGUAUCUAACCAGCAAGUCACGGCUAACUACGUGCCAGCAGCCGCGGUAAUACGUAGGUGGCAAGCGUUGUCCGGAUUUAUUGGGCGUAAAGGGAACGCAGGCGGUUUUUUAAGUCUGAUGUGAAAGCCUUCGGCUUAACCGGAGAUGUGCAUUGGAAACUGGAAAACUUGAGUGCAGAAGAGGAGAGUGGAACUCCAUGUGUAGCGGUGAAAUGCGUAGAUAUAUGGAAGAACACCAGUGGCGAAAGCGGCUCUCUGGUCUGUAACUGACGCUGAGGUUCGAAAGCGUGGGUAGCGAACAGGAUUAGAUACCCUGGUAGUCCACGCCGUAAACGAUGAAUGCUAGGUGUUGGAGGGUUUCCGCCCUUCAGUGCCGCAGCUAACGCAAUAAGCAUUCCGCCUGGGGAGUACGACCGCAAGGUUGAAACUCAAAGGAAUUGACGG